AAGAAAACAUCAAAAUAAAUAAAUAAAUAAAAGUUAUAUUAUUCUGCAAAAUGAAAACAACAAAGAUUGCUUUACUCCUUUUUGGAACAUUUGGUUUUUCAACUUUAGAUGUUGUUAUAAAACAUGCCUUUGCUACAGAACAAGAAGGAAACCCUUAUGGUCAAGAACUAUCAUAUUGGGACGAAGAUCCAUUAAAUCCUGAAAACAUUGAACAGGUUAAAAAAACUGUUCUGGAACCAAUACCAGAAGUAAGUUCGAGUAAUGAAGAGAUAAAUGAACCAAGUAACGAUGAAACAGAAUCAGUAGUUGCAUGUAAUGAACAGACAAAUAAACCAAAUGACGGUGAAACAAAAUCAGUAACUACGAUUAAUGUUGAUGUUAGUAAUCCAGAAGAUGAAAAACCGCCAAGUGCUGGACCGUCAGGUGAACAUGUAGUAGUUAAAAAAAAUGUGAAUACAAAAGACGCUGGACCACAUGAAGAAACUCAUUUUACUCCAAUAACUGAUAAGGAUUUAUCAGCUGCAGUAGAGAAUGGUGAAGCACAACUAACAGUUGUAAUAAAUGAACUUACUAAAUGGAUGAAAGAUGAAAAAGCAGUUUAUUUUAGGGAGAUAGAAAAUAUUGAAUUAAAGUGGAAAACUGAAAAAGUUGAGGAAAUUAAAUUCCUUUUACUUUAUUUAGAAAAACGUUGGUUAAAUUUUAUAGGAAAUGUUGAUACAAACGUAUCAAAAAAAUUUGUACAAGAGUCCUCUUCGUGGACAGAUAAACAAUGGGCAAAAUGGAUACGCUCAGAAGGUACUGAUCUACUUACACAUCAAUUUAACAUGUGGCUUAAAUUUAGCGAAGCGCAGUUGAUAUUUGACGCAAUAGAAAGUUUCAAAAGUUGGGUAUUAGAAAAAAAAAGUAUUGUUAAUGCACAAUCUUGGCCAGAUAAUAAAAAAGCUAAAGAAUUAAUUAAUUUUUUGAAAUUUGCUAAAAAAAUGCAAAAAGCUUUACAUAAACAUGUAAAUUGUUUUUAUAAACCCAUAAACAAA
rnacentral:lncRNA from 1 species